CCAGUGGGAGAAAUUAAUUCAAAAAAUUGCAAGGCAAAUCUCUGUUUCAAAUACUAACUAAUAUUUCAAGCAUGUUAGCCCUUCUUUAUUUGAUCAUUAACAACAGGCAAUUCCGGAAUCCAAGCAGGUUAUAUCGAUCAUAAUUGAAAAAACAAUAAUUUAUGCACAAGUUCAGACAAAGUAUGUUACCAUAGCUGAACUCUACUGUAAAUAGGUCUCGGAAGUGAUCCUUUUGGUAGUCCAAGUGCCGCUUCAACACCCUCAAGCAUGCUUGUUUUCACCUUUUCCGCUGUUUGACUUGGUAUAUUUUCCUGGUAAUGCAAUUCGAAAAACUUAUACAUAUCUGACAAAACCCCCCAAACUACUAUAGUUUCAAACACAAUAUAACAGUAAUAUCACCAAGGUUCAACAUAGAGCGGGAUAGUCCACGAGAAUCACAAAGCUUUUCAUCGGUCCAAAACUAACCUGAGGAACCUUGUUUUGUUUUCCAUAGGCUGCGGUGCUGAAAAAAGUCCAACAGUGAGGACCAUUACUCUGAGAACCCAAAAGCUUCAGUGAAUUGUUUGCCAUCCAAGAUACGGAAUCAACUCCCUUAACAAAAGCUCCUUGAAAUGUCACUUUACCAUCUCCCAUAGGAAGGGGAUGCUCGAAUGCUGCAAGAAGUGCCCAUAUUGAACUCAAAUCUAGCCUCUACAAAAAAAAAAAAAAAGUUGAGAACAUAUGGCUGCAGCAAAAAUGAGAAUAUAUCCAAUAACAAGAACAAUAUACCUUCAUUUGUCUAGCAAUUAGAGGUAAUCCUGAUGAAGCAAGCAAGCGAUUUGCACAUUUUCCUGUGAAAUGCAAGAAGCCAUGUCACACGGACUUGGUUGUGAUUGUUGGAUAUGGGUAUGAGUCAAAAACAGGUAUGUUCGAAAAUGUAUUUUGAGGGUCAUAUCCCUGUACCCAUGUCCGAAAAUGUCUAGCAAUCAUUGAAUUGCAUGUAUGUUUAAAAAGAUCAUACAAAUUAUGCAUCAAAAAUAUAUGUUAUGAUAAAGAAUCAUACCCUUCAUCCUUCGUACCCGAAUAUCAGUGGCAAGAUCUCGAGUACUGUCCUAUAACCUAAAUGGUUGGCUUAUUUAGCUUUUAAGCCAUCCUUUGUAUGCAUACACUUUUUGUAUUCCUACAAAAACAGCUUGUUUCUAACCUCCAAGCAUACCUUGAUUUGCCCCCAAACAAAUACCGAAAUAUGUCAUAACGUGAAAUUGUUACCUAUUAUCUAGAACUUUAUCUGCAUGGUCAGCCCUAUCUAGAUCUUGACUGUAACAACAAUAGUAAAAUGACAUUCACAGCUCAUUCAGUGCAUGCAUAAAAUUAAAUCCUAACCCUAUUACCAUAAAAUCAUAAAAUAACACUCCUAAGCAAAUUUGAAUUGAAAAAAAUGGGACAGAAGAAAAAAACAUAAGUAUUGAGGCACAAAAUUACCAUUAUGAGCAAUAACAAUUGCAUCAAAUUCCCCACGAGGUUUUCCAUUCUCGCUCAAGUGCCACAUCCCGUUAAAUGGCUCGAGCUUACUUAUCCAACAAGGUCUCACUACAUUGACCAUAGAAGUCUGCACCAAGCAUCUAACUUACUCAGAUAUAACCACUGUUAAAAUGUCAACCCAAUUAAGCACUUGAGACAAUAGGGUCCAAUAAUGAAAGGCACCACUCUAGACAAUUAGUAAUUUAUUUGUUUCACAAAGUAUAACCUUUCCAUUCGACUAAUAAUAAAGCUUUAAAAAGAUCAGAAUAAGCAGCAAGAACGAAAAUGAAGGUGAUCACCUCAGAAAGCAAAGAGUCGGCUAAAGGGCGCAUCCCAUUGACACCUAUAAACCUUGGUGGUGAUGAAGGAAGAGAAACAAACCGGCCACCUAAUUCAAGCUGACCAACUAAACCUUGCCAUUCUCGAACCAAGCCUUUCUCCAACCAAUAAUCAACUAGCUUGGAAAACCGAGAAUCACUGACAGUAAAAAACUGAGCAGCAUGGUCAAAUAUAAGUUGUUGAGGAUCAAUGACUCUAGUUCCCAUUCUUCCUCCCAAACCAUGCAUUCCCUUUUACGGCAAAAGACAACAAGAAACCACAUCACUUGCAAUUAUCCAAACUACAUUAUGCAAUGUUAAUGCAAAUGGUUGAACUUCUAAACUUGUCCUCCCAUAACUAAACUAUUGAGCAUUAAAAAGAAGAACGGUACCGGAAAAUCACAUGAAAGGGUUGAAUUAUAUUAGCUUAGGCAUGCCAAAUUCACAAUUUAAUUUCAUUGAAGACUGGAGUUUCUCUUAACAGAAGAAGAAUAUUUGAGUGCAAUGAAUACACAAACAAAAAGAGGCCUUCUCUUCUUCUGUCAUAUGACAAGAAAUUUAGAGACAACUAUUCAUCACAGAGAUUAAUUGAGCAACUCCAAAGUUAAAUUUAUGCAUGAGUUCUAAAACAUACUAACAAAAUGAAUUUCUUUCUAUAAAUUAAAUGCAUUGUUUUUAUUCAAAAAAAAAAAAAUCCAAUUGUCAUAUACUCAUGUAGGGAAAAGAAAAACAUUAUUACAAGAAAAGAAACAUUUUUUAAUUCAUUGAUCAAAACACCCUAAAGAACAACAAUAACCCAAAUUAAAGCAGCACGAAAGGUAACCAAAGGAACCAACCGUGUCAAAAACAGUGGACUUAACACCUCUUUUCUCCAAGCUCAAAGCACAAAGAAGACCAGCCAUUCCUCCACCAAUAAUCCCCACGUGAGGGUCAGCUGAAACACCAGCAGUGAACUUGACCUGCUCCUGAGUGAAGGUUUUCUUGAGAAUUGACCUCCUAGAAGUCCCAUAUGGUGUUCUUUUCCUGUUCCUUGAAGUGGGUCUUUGUGGGUUUUUGGAGGGUUUUUUGGGUUCUUGUGAACUGCAAAUUAUAGUUAGAGGUUUUGGGGGUUUAAAGGAUUUCUGGGUUUUGAGAGGAAACAGAAAUGAAGAAGAAAAACUGGGAAGAGCCGAAGGUGCCAUUGUUUCUUUUUCUUUUUGGAGGGAGCGACAACUAGCAACAAUCUUUAGUGUCUUAUCCUAUUAUACUAUGUACGUACAUACAUACAAAUAUAUCAAUUUUCACUUAAUUUUCAAUUAAAUAGAUAACAAUUAUGUGAGUUUACCGGCCAUAAUCACUUAAAUUUCAAUUAAAUAGAUAACAAUUUCGGAUAAUCUUAAUUCGAAAAGUGAAUUUAUAGUCAAAGUGAACCAAAAGCACCCAUGUUGAUAUUGCGACAAUCAACUGGUUUUCGAGGGAAAAAUUUCCUGUUUUUAUACUUUAUGAGAGAAAACAAGGCAUUUCAUUAACAUUAGGGUCAUUAACUCUUUCAUAUAUAUGACAAGAAUUGUGACAAUAUAACUUAUACAACAUGUACAUUUCACAUCAACCCAAACCCACUAAGAGAAACCAACUCAUCACUGCAGAAAAUGAAACGGGCUACUUUUCUUUCAGGACUUCCAUAUGGGCACUACUGAAACUUCAAGACCAUUUCCCUGCUUGGAGAGUUAGUUAAAAUCCUGGAGAUUUUCAUGAAUGAACAGUGAUGUUGGUUGCUCUGCUCGGUGAUUUUUGUCGGAGCGGUUUUUGUCAUCUCUUUUUACUGUUUUGCUUGAUCCUUCACCUUGUGAGUCCCAUUGCUGUUGCUGUUCUGUCCACUGACCUGGAUCUUGCUUUUGACCAUAUUUGCAGUAGUGGGCAAGGGGAAAGCCAAAAUAAUUUUUUAAGGGUCCCGAUAAAAUUUUAAUUUUUUAUAAUUUAUAUCUUUAUAAUUUGUAAAAGAUUAAAUAAAAUUUUUAUAAUUUGAGGGGGGUUAAAGUAAAAUUUUACUUUUACUAAUUUAAAAUUUUUAAAAAAUUUUAAGGGCCUAAAUAGUAAUUUUACUUUUUAGGAGGGGCCGGGGCCUAUGCCAACCCCCUUGGCUUCGCCCCUGGUAGUGGGUCGUUGCACUUCAUUACCUAAGCUGUAGCGGUUAGUUCGGGAGCAAGCUUUUGCCUUUUCAACUUGAGUUGAGGGGACUAAGUCACCGCAACUCAUUCUCCGGAUAAAUGUUAAUUUGCAUGACAUUUUGUGUCUAAUUUAGUUUAUUUUGGAAUUGAUCCCUGCUGAAUUAGUUUUUUUUUAUGUUUCACUUUUGUCAGGGAUGCAAUUGGAACGCUAAAAGUCAAAAACAAGCUAAAAAUUGAAACACAAUAAUUGAAAUGAGGCCAAAUAAAAAAUGUGGAGAAAACUAAGGACUCAUCAGAUUUUUUGACUUUAGAAAAGCCAAAAAAAAAAUAUUAUUUUAUUUAUUUAAUUAAUUAAAUUUAUGUUAAAUUAGGUAAGGCUAAAAUUAGCAAAUUCUUUGUAUAUAAAUAGGCCUUAAUGUUCUUGAGAAGAUUAUCACCUAAUUCUACAUUUUUCUUUCAAUUUGAAAUUGAAUAGAAUUAUUUUCUUUUUUUUUCUUUCAAUUUGAGCGUGAGUAUUCUGCUGUUCCAUUUCCAUUCCUUUGUUCUUUCAAAAGUUAGUCUAAUUGUUUUCCAAGUACUUUUCCUUCUCAAUUUCCAUCAUCUUUCAUACAAAUUCAAUCACCUUCCACAAUGUGCACAUUGGGUACGUUGGGUUGGAGUCGUGUUUGUUGAUAGUUGGAGAAACGAGUCGGCCAUGCUGUAUUCGGAUCUCCGAGAACAAAUCAAGGAAGAAGUGAUCGGGUUUAAACGACCCAAACGGUUGAGGCCGUUAAUUCAAGUUGGGUUAUUCAGAGCGCAAGGCUGCUGGAAUCUUGAAUCGGGAACACAUGUAUCUCGGCUAGAUAAUCGGUAAGGGUUGGUUUGAAGGUCGUACCGGGACCAACUACGAGAGACUGAAUUUAACCGCUAUAACCAACUUAUCAUUUGAAGGAGAAGAUCAAUUUUCGAGGAUCGAUUCUUAAUUUGGAAUCUACCGAGUCUAGGGCUAAGGCUUAUUAUCUUUGAUUACAAAAUCUGAAUUUAAUUUCCAACUUAGCUGUUUCAAUUACUUAGUUUCUAAACAUUCCAAACUCCCCUGAUUUAUUUGUUUAUUUUCUUUAUAGGUCCAUUUGGAGUCGUGGACACGACUUUUGUCACGACUUUCGACAUGACAAAAAUUCUGAUCACAAGUUAAACGCGGAAGUUGAUUAUAACAUCCAAUCCCUGUGGACUUGAUUCUACUAACACUCUUUACUAUUAUUUAGAAUUAUUUUUAUAGGAAUUAUUUUUGGUGGUUUCGAUCCCCAUAGUAAUGAUAAUUUAGUAAUUUUCUUGACUGAGUUGGUGUCAAAUUGAUAAAUACAUAUUUUAAUUAUUUUUUGUUUAUGAAAAAAAGUAUACUUAAUAAAUUCAUUACCAGUGAUUGACUAUUAACUUAGCUGGGAUUGAUUGAGUAUUAAUAUACAAUAGAACUCAAUUUGAUGUUAGGUAAUAAGAAAUAAAAAUUUAUAGUUGCAUUUAUUUAUUUUUUCUUAUUCGUAUUCUUUCUUAGCUUUGGAUUUGUUCAUAUUCCUAUGGUUUGAUUUGGGGAGAUAGGAAUUAUGUUCCAUCUAUAAAUUGGUGGUGUCUUAAGCUCAAAGUGAGUGGCAAAGCUUCACCUCCCUAUUCAUCCCAUCAUUCUGGUACUCUCUUUUCUUUCACUCUUUAUUAUCACUUCCUUUGCUUUUUUAUUUUUUGUUUAUAUUCUUUGGGGGAAACCCAAAAUCAUGUGAAAAAAAAAGAGCUUUAAUUAUUCUUUGACUUGAUACCAUACACUAAUAUUCUUAUAUUGUUGAUUGAUUUGUUUCUGUUGAUAAUGCCAUAUUAUUAAUUAGUAAAAUAUAGAUGUUUUCUUUUUUAAAAAAUCUUCCAUCAAAAUCAUUUAGUAAUUUGAUUGAUAGUAUUCACAGAAGGAAAAAAUAAAAAACCAUCAAAAUCAUUUCAAAAUCCCAUAUAUAAUCACCCACAUAUGUUUUCCUUUAAUGUGCAGUGUUAUAAUGGCCUCUGGAAGUGAGUACUUUAACCGUUGCGGACCCAAAUACCUUAGCAAUAUCGACUGGAACAACGCCCACCAUCGAAAGUCUGUAUCAGCCAGCUUGGUUGAAGGUGUUUACAUGCUUGAAGAAGAUCGACAAGCCAGACGUGGAGGCUCUCAACGUGUUGCGCCACCAUGGUGGGAGUUUUUCAACUUCAAAGUGGUUAAUGCACUCGUUGAUGACAAUGAUAAAAGCAUCUUCGGUGCCAUUUUCGAAUAUAAACCUUCAGCUUAUUCGUAUCAUCGUUCGAUGGAUCGAAGCCCUCGGUACGUAAUCGCCUUUCGAGGUACCUUAAUCAAGUUAGAAUCGUUUGCAAGAGAUCUUAAGUUGGAUAUCGAUAUAAUUCGAAACGGACUUCAUCAUACUGGUCGUUUUAGGACCGCCAUUAAAGCUGUUCUAGAUUUGGUGUCAGUGGUUGGGUCUUCAAAGGUGUGGUUAACCGGUCAUUCCCUAGGUGCAGCCAUGGCAAUGCUUGCUGGAAAAAACAUGGCGAAAAGAGGGAAUUUCUUGGAAGCAUUUUUGUUUAAUCCGCCAUAUGUAUCUCCCCCUAUUGAGAGAAUAAAAAAUAAGAAAGUGAGGCAUGGACUUCGAUUUGCUGGCACUUUAAUCAAAGCUGGCAUUGCAUUUGCAGCUGCUGCAAGUGAUAAUCAUAACAAUUCAAAUGGUAUUCAAGAUUCAUCUUUUGCUGCAAUAUCUGGGUGGAUUCCAUGUCUGUUUGUGAAUCAUUUAGACCCCAUAUGUUCUGAAUAUAUUGGUCACUUCAAGCAUAAGAAAAAGCUUGAAGACAUUGGAGCUGGGGGUCUUGCAAGGCUAACAAGCCAGCAUUCACUAGGGAAUAUGGCAAUGAGUGCAGUGGGAAUAAAGGGUAUUGACACUUCGGAACCACUUCAUUUGCUUCCUUCGGCAAAUCUGACAGUGAAUCUCUAUCCUUGCCAAGAUAUGAUUUCUGCUCAUGAGCUUCAUCAAUGGUGGAGGCCUGAUCUGAACUUGAGUUGCAGUGUUUACAAGUACAAAUAGUUUGUCGCUGUCAUGGCUGCUGCAUGAUCUGCCAUCGGUUAUCUCGGGGAAUGUAUUAAUAUUAUUACAGGGUUUACAACUAUAAGCUUUCAAAAAAAGAAAAAGAAAAAGUAAUACUGGCUUGUAGUAAAUCCUAAAUAAAUUUCCUAGAAUUUAAGCCUUAGUCUGUCCUGUCUUUGCUUGGUUGAGUUUAAUGGAAUGGUGAUAAAAAAGCCUUUUGUAAUUUAUGUAUUUAUUUAUUUUAUAAUGAGGUAGGUGUUGCUUUCCGGAGAGUAGUUUAUAGUUAAUUUGUUUAGGGGUUUCUUUCCUUUAUUUUACUGAAAAAAGCAGCCUUUUGUAUGUAUAUUAGCCAAAAGCUAAAGUGUGUAAAGAGGUCAGUUUUCAAAGGAUUUUUCGCAUUUAAACACAUUUAAAUUCAUGAAUUUUAAGUCAUUAUAAUAAUAAUAGUCUCCAACUCAUGCCACCACUGAAGAAAUAUUUAUAAAAUACACAACGCAAUGUAGUUAAUGGCUUCUGGAUGAACUUCAUGAUUUGUUAUCGGUUUUUUUACCUGAGGGAGCAACCUGAGAUCUCACUAAGGGAAUUAAAGCCUCUAUGUUUGAUGAAGGUAGUGAGAAAAAAGUACUGGGGCUUGAUGGCUUCACUUCACAUUUCUUUAAAUUUGCAUGGCAUAUAGUUGGUAAUGAUCUCUCUAACGCGGUUAAGUUAUUUUUUGAGUGCUUGAGGAUGCUUCCAGCUUUUAAUGCUGCUACUGUUGUCUUAGUCUCUAAAGUGUCUAAAUCCUAAUCAUGUGUAAGGAUUUUAGACCAAUCUCUUGUUCUUCAGUAGUGUACAAGUGUGUCACUAGAAUUCUUGUUAAAAGCAUCACUUCUUUUCUCCCUAAUUUGAUUUCCGCUAAUCAGAGCGCUGUCAUACAAGAAAGGUGUAUUACUGAUAAUACUUUGUUAGCUUAGGAGAUUGUAAGAGGUUAUAACAGGAAGAACUUGUCCCUUAGGUGGGCAAUGAAGGCGGACCUGCAAAAAGCUUUUGACACACUCAAUUGGGGGUUUUGUGCUUGAUGUUUUGAUUGCCAUGGGAUACCUAGAUCUUUUUGUAGGGUGGAUAAGAGCAUGGCAUUACUACUCCAAUAUUUUCUAUCUUUCUAAAUGGUGGUCUGGUAGGAUUUUCAAAGGCACUAGAGGCAUCAGUCAAGAGGCGCACUGUCGUCUUACCUAAUUAUUAUUGCCAUGAAUGUUAGGAAUAACUACUAUUAGUUACUGUUAGUUAGUAAGUUGUUAACAGUUUCAGUUAGUUGAUUCUCUUGUAUUAAAUACAUGCCACUCGUUUUGAUUAACAACAUGAAGAGAAUUCCUUUCUACCUCCUGUAUUGUUGAAUAUUAUCAUGGUAUCAAGAGCCAAAAAUUCUGUUUGACAUAACAAUUUUUUUUCUUUUUCCUCUCAUUUCUCUAUUCAUGGCCACGGAGGCAGUACCAAGACCUGAUACACCACGUCACUCUUCCUAUACAAGCGAAGUAGUCCAUUCGCAAGGCGUUGGCAGUGAUGGUUCAUCCACAGUUCUCUAUUUUUCCAAACAUGAUAUGAUCAAGCUUGCUAAGCAUAAUUUUCUGUUGUGGAAGCAUUAACUUUUGCUGAUUCUUGAAGGCUACAGUUUUGAAGGAUUUGCGCUGGGCACGAUUUCAAUCCCUCCUUCUUUUCUUGCAAGGACUGAUGGUCAACUUGUUGAGAAUCCCGCCUUUCUUGUUCAUAAGAAGCAGGAUAAAUUUCUGGCUUCUUCGCUUUUGUCGACUGUUACUGAUGAAGUUUUAGUUUACCUUACAGUAGCUAAAACAAGUUUUGACAUCUGGACCACCAUCGAAAGAAGGUUUGGCGCCACGUCUAGUAUUAAAAUUUUGAGUAUGUGUCAUGCUUUGUACUCGAUCAAGAAGGCCAACUUCACCAUUAAAGAAUAUUUGAUCAAAAUAAAGAAUCUCAGUGAUAGCUUAACAGCAGUUGGUAGUUUGGUCACCGAGAAAGAACAAAUCAAUGUCAUCUUGGCUGGACUUUCUGCUGAGUAUGAGUCUAUUCGAGUUCUUGCUUCUGUAACUCCAAUAUCUUUGGAAUUGCUCACUGACAUGCUACUUGACUGUGAGGUAAGACAACUCGCUCUAAUGGCAGAGGUUCCUAUGCAAGCAAAUUUGGUCACUAAACAUCAAGAUAACACUCCUAAGCAAGGACAACGUGGGUCAGGCCGAGGCUAGUCUCGUGGCAAAACUCAAGGCACUGUGAGGGGUUGGUCCCACUCUAGGCCACAGUGUCAGUUAUGUGGGAAGAUUGGCCAUCUUGUUCAAACCUGUUAUCAUAGGUUUGAUGAGAAUUUCUCUGGUAUUAGCCACAACCCUUCAGUCAACUAUCAUCAGGUUCAUAACACUACCUUUGCAUCUUUUCCUACUACAUGUUCAUCCAUGGCUCAUUGUUGUGGCGCAUUUUCUCAUCCACCACCUCCCCAAGCUCUUAUUUCCGUCAUCUCCGAUCAGAUAUGGUAUCCUGAUUCUAGUGCAACGAAUCAUGUUACACCUGACGUGUCCAAUCUCAUGACUACUUCUCCCUACAUAGGUACAAGCCAUGUCACUAUGGAAAAUGGUGAGUCUGUCUUCAUAACUAAUGUAGGUUCAUCUACUUUCUUGGCUGGCUCCAGACUCUUGCGUCUGCAGAAUGUUUUACAUGUUCCUACAGUUUGCAAGAAUCUAAUGUCUGUGGGUCAGAUAAUGGUGUUUAUUUUAAAUUUCACCCGUUUCUAUGUUUUAUAAAGGGCAUUCAGACAGGGAUGAUUCUACUAGAGGGACAUAUGCAUUAGGGUUUAUAUAGGUUUCAAUUUUCAGAAUCUGCUCCCACCACUGUCAGUUCUGCCUUGAAACCUAGCUCACUUUGGUUGAACAGUGCUUAGAUUUCAUCAUCUUCUUUAUGGCACAACAGGCUUGGCCAUCAUUGUCAUAACACCUUAGCUCGUGCGUUGAAGUCUUGUAAAUUUCCUUUCAAACAAAGUAGUUUGCCUCGAAUAUGUACAGCUUGUCAGCUAGGCAAGGCUCACAAGCUCCCUUUUUCUUCUUCACAUAUAGUGUACUCUUCCCCUUUUGAACUUAUGGUAUCUGAUGUAUGGGGACCAGCUCAUAUACUUUCAAAUGAUUCCUCUUAUUACGUUUCUUUUAUCGACAUGUAUUGCAGAUACACUUGGAUUUAUUUUUUCAAAAACGAGUUUGAGGUGGUUUAAUGUUUUUUAAAUUUUCAUCAGCUGGUUAAAGUACAAUUUGGUCAUUCUAUUAAAAAGCUACAGACUGAUGGGGGAGAGAAUAUCAUGUCUUAUCAAAAGAGCUCUCUCAACUUGGUAUACAACACAGGGUCACAUGUCCCCACACCUCAGAGCAGAAUGGUAUCACUGAAAGAAAGCACAGACAAAUAGUUGAUAUGGGCUUGUCUCUUUUAGCUCAGUCUGCUAUGCCCUUAAAAUUUUGGUUUUAUACCUUUGCACAUGCAGUUUACUUAACCAACCAAAUGCCUACUCCUGUUCUCCAUCACGUUAGUCCGUAUGAAGUACUUCACAAGCUUAAACCUAACUACGGUCUACUACGGGUAUUUGGUGUGCUUGUUUUCCUGAUCUACGACCAUUUUAACAGCAUAAGUUACAAUUUGGAUUUCAAAGGUGUGUGUUUCCUGGCAGUGCUCCUAAUAGAAAAGGUUACAGGUGCCUUGCUGAAGAUGGUCGAGUUUUUCUAUCUCGACAUGUUCGAUUUGAUGAGACUUAGUAUCCGUUUCAUGAUGGUUUUUGUUCACAGUCUCAAGUCGGUUCUCCAAAGGGUCUUCAUCAGCAGUUUGUGCUUCUUCUGAUUGUAGAGAAUGCUUCUUCUGCACACACCUCCACACAGGCAGUCACAAGACCAACUAGAGCCUCUCUUAUGGUUCCUUCCCCUGUACAGUCUCCUAGUGCUCACCCUCCUUCCAGUCCUUCUGCUGAUUUCCCAGCUGUAGCUGAUGUGCCCACCUCUUGUGAUCAGACUGAGUGUAAUACAACAGCUCCUACAAGCAUGAACGUCUAACCCAUGCAGACUCGCUCUAAAAAUAGCAUUUUUAAGCCUAAACUCUUUGCUUCUGUUUUGGCUGAGAAGGAACCCACGACUAUAAUCGAAGCCUUUCAAAGCACAACUUGGACAACAGCUGCACAAGAUGAAUACAGUGGUUUGCUUACAAGUCAUACUUGGGACCUUGUGCCCUUACCUGAAGGUCGACGUGUUGUUGGCUGCAAGUGGAUCUUUAAGAUCAAGAGACAUGCGGAUGGUUCAAUUUCGCGAUACAAGGGUAUGCUAGUUGUUAAGGGUUACCUGCAAGAAGCUGGUAUCGACUUCCAGGAAACCUUUGGCCCUGUGGUUAAGCCAACUACAAUCAGAGUGGUCCUUGCAUUGGCAGUGUCUUUCAACUAGCCACUUAGACAAGUUGACAUUAAUAAUGCUUUUCUGAAUAGAGAUUUAAGCGAGGAAAUUUACAUGAUGCAGCCUGUUGGAAAUGUGAUGGGCCGAAAAUUUACUUUUUAUUACACACUCAAUAUAUUACAAUACGAAGAUUACAAAUAUUUUCUCAAUGACUAGAUAGUCUAGCUGCUGCUAGAUUUUAACUCACUCAAGGUUUGCUAACCUUCUCACUCUCACUCACGUUGCUUCUCUUAUUUCUUUUUUCUUCUCAUUUUUCUUUUUUACAACACAAGUUCAAGCCUCUAUUUAUAGGCUGAUAAAGUGACAACAAAUGUGGCUAUUAAUCCACUUAAUUUCCAGCCACAAAACAUCUCAAUAAUGGAGCACUUUGUAUGGCUAAAAUUUCAGCACUUUGCAUGGCACAAAAUUGCUCCACGUCUCAUGUUUCUAGAUUAUGCUUGGAGUGGGUUUGAUUUCUAACACUCCCCCUCAAACCCAACUUUCAUACCGAGCUUCUCUUUGAAUUUGUUGAAUGUCUCCACUUUCAACGGCUUUGUGAAAAUAUCUGCCAGUUGAUCUUCUGUCCUGCAAUGGACCAACUCCACGUUUUUGUUUUUCACUUGCUCUCGGAUAAAAUGAUACUUCGUAUCGAUGUGCUUGCUUCGGCUGUGCGACACCGGAUUCUUGGCAAGUGAUAUAGCGGAUUUGUUGUCAACGUAGAUGGUAAUUGGACCUUCAUUUGAAACACCUAUUUCUCCCAAAAUAUUCUUCAACCACAUUGCUUGGCAUGUACAAGUUGCUGCGGCCAUAUACUCUGCUUCACAUGUUGAGAGAGCAAUUGUUUGUUACUUCUUUGACGACCAUGAAAAAACUGCGGAACUGAUGUGGAAUGCAUAUCCGGAAGUGCUUUUCCGAUCAUCCAAGUCUCCCCCAUAAUCGCUAUCUGAGUAGCCAACUAAUUUUGAAUCUUGUGAGUGGGUAUAGAAUAAACCAUGGUUCAUCGUACCUUUGAUAUAUCUCAAAAUUCUUUUUGCGGCAAUUAAGUGGUCUUGCUUCGGCUUCUCCAUGAAUCUGCUCACCAAUCCUACUGCAUAUGUAAUAUCUGGUCGUGUGAUUGUCAAAUACCUUAAACUUCCAACGAGACUUUUAAACAACGUCGGAUUUAUCGACUCCCUUGUCGAAUCAACACUUAGCUUCAUCCCUGGAUCAGCUGGCGUGACUACUGGCUUGCAAUCCUUCAUUUUGAACUUGUUCAAAAUCUGCUCCGCAUACUUCUUUUGAGAGACAAAAAUUCCAUCUUGCAUUUGUUUCACCUCGACUCCAAGAAAGUAUGACAUCUCACCGAUAUCUGUCAUUUCAAAUUCUUUAGUCAUAGCUUUCUUGAAAUUAUCAGACAUACCUGGAUUGUUUCCGGUGAAGAUCAUGUCAUCCACAUAUAGGCAUACGAUCAUGAUAUCUCCAUAUCCAUUCUUCUUUGUGUACAGGGUGUGCUCGUGCGGGCUUUUGAUGAAUCCAUUUCUUCGGAAGUACUCGUCGAUCCUUGUGUUCCAUGCUCUUGGGGCUUGCUUCAAUCCAUACAAAGCUUUCUUCAAUCGGUAGACUUUGUCCUCCUUUCCUUGUAUGCUAUAUCCAGGUGGUUGUUCUAUGUAGACUUCCUCCUCCAAGUAGCCAUUCAGGAAUGCAGACUUGACGUCCAUCUGAUAGAUUUUCCAUUUGUAUUGUGCUGCGACCGCUAUGAGAAGCCUAAUUGUGUCUAUUCUUGCGACUGGAGCAAAUAUUUCAUCAUAGUCCACUCCUUGUCUUUGCUUGUAGCCUUUGGCGACUAGUCUUGCCUUGUAUUUCUCUACUUUUCCUUCUUUGUUGGUCUUCGUCUUGUACACCCACUUGACACCAAUCGGGCUAUGUCCUUCUGGCAGACUUGUUAGCUCCCACGUGUCAUUCCUUCUUAUUGCAGCAAUCUCCUCGUCCAUGGCCUUCUUCCAUUUAUUGUUUUCAAUUGCUUCUUCGUAUGUCACUGGAUCACAUUCUGUCAUUAGACAGAAUAGUGAAUAAUCGAACUGCGUCUCUACAGGUUCCGUAGAAUUGUAGAUGUCGUUGAGACUCCGUGUUCUUGUGGGUGCUUCAUCUGAGCUGCUGCUUCCGCUGCUGCUGGUUGGUGACGAAGGGGCUGUUGUACCAGGACUUUGAUCAUCGCCUUGUUCUUCUUGGUUAUUAUCGUCUUCGUUGAAAAAUAAUCCUUCCACUUUCUUUUCUUCUUCACUCCAUCUCCAGUAAUCCGCUUCAUCGAACUCGACAUCUCUUGAGAUAAUCAAUUUCUUAGUAAGAGGAUUAUAAAGUCUGUAGGCCUUACUUCUUUUGUCAUAGCCUAUAAAGAUACACUUCUCUCCUCUAUCGUCAAGCUUUUUCCUCUGUUGCUCAGGAACGUGUGCAUAUGCAAUGCAUCCAAAAAUUUUGAGGUGUCCAACUCUUGGCUUGUGACCGCUCCAUGCUUCUUCUGGUGUCUUGUGUCUUACACUUUUUGUUGGACAUUGAUUCAACAGAUAAACUGCGCAUUCAACGGCUUCAGCCCAGAAAGUUCUCGGAAGGUGUUUACCUUUUAUCAUGCUUCUUGCCAUAUCCAGAAUUGUCCGAUUCUUCCUUUCUACAACUCCGUUUUGUUGUGGAGUGCGUCUGGCUGUUAACUGAUGAAUGAUUCCAUGAUCCUUGCAGAAACUUUCAUAAAGCUUUGCAGUAUACUCGCCUCCUCUAUCGGAUCUGAGUAUCUUCAAAUAUCGACCACUCUGUUUUUCCACCAUUGCUUUGAACUCCUUGAAUUUUUCUAGGGCUUCCGAUUUUGCUUUGAGAAAAUAAACCCAACAUUUUCUGCUAUAAUCAUCAAUAAAAGUUAGGUAGUACCUGUUUCCACCGAGUGAUUCAAUGUCGUACGGACCAGAUAUGUCGGUGUGUACAAUUUCCAAUGGUCUUCUAGCUCUUCGAGAUUUUCCUACUUCAAAUUUCUGCCUAUGCUGCUUUCCUUUGACACAGGCUUCACACAGUUGAUCUGGAUGAUUAAUACUUGGUAAUCCAUUCACCAUAUUUGUCUUCGACAACAGCUUCAAGCCAGAAAAUCCGAGAUGUCCGUACCUUAAGUGCCACAACCAUGAUUCAUUCUUCAGAUCCGUCUUCAUGCAUUUUACUUCUCCAGACUCGAUGUCGAGGGUGAAAAGACGAUUUCGCGUCAUAUCAACUCGAACAACUAAUUCUCCACUUUUGUUCCUGAUGGCGAGUGAGCGGUCUUUCAUAUGAACUUCAUAUCCUUUUUCUAGGAGUUGACCAAGACUGAUCAGGUUGCUCUUCAAAGCUGGUACGUAGUAAACGUCUGAGAUGUACUUCUUCUCUCCAUUCCUUUGUGUUAUAACAACCUUGCCCUUUCCUUUGAUUUCUGCAUGUGAGUUGUCUCCAAAAGUUAUUUGUCCAUGAACUGUUUCAUCUAAUUCUGUGAACAGCUCCUUUCUUCCACACAUGUGGUUGCUUGCACCGUUGUCGAGAUACCACACACUUCUCUUGCGAUCUUCAUUUUCUCCGUAAGUGAGAAAGACACUUGAUUCCACUUUUUCGUUGCCUUCUGCUGCGACUGCUACAUGGUUUCUUUCAUCCACUUUGUGUGUUGAUCUGCACUCGUAACUGAAAUGUCCAUACUUGUUACAGUUGUAGCAUUGUACCUGAGAUUUAUUUUCUUGAAAUCUGCCUCGGCCACGACCUCUAGAUCCACGUCCACGGUUGGAUGUUUGAUAAUCUUUAUUUUCUUGAUAUCUCCCAUAUGAUUGAUUUCCACGUCCUCGUGAUCCUCUUCCUCCUCUGUUUCCACCACGGUAGCCUCCACGGUAUCCUCUGCGGUUUCCUCUUCCUUGGUUAAAGUUAUUACUUGUUUCUCCGUCAUCGACGGACAACUUGCUAUGCAAGGCUUGAUCAAGAUUUUCACUAUCUUCAUUUAGCUUCAUCUUUUGCUCAUGGGCUUGCAGAGAACCCACAAGUUCUUCGAGCGACAUCUUUGACAAAUCUUUUGAUUCUUCGAUGGCAACGACUACGUACUCGAAUUUGCGUGUGAGUGACCGUAGAAUUUUCUCCAUCACUCUUACCUCGUCAAGAGUUUCUCCAUUUCGUUUCAUUUCAUUUACCACCGAUUUUACACGAUUGGCAUAGUCAUCGAUAUUCUCGGAGCUCUUCAUUUUUAACAUUUCAAAUUCAGCUCUAAGUGACUGAAGGCGUACCUUUUUAGCUUUUUCUACACCUUGAAAUGAUUUUUGCAAAAUCUCCCAUGCAUUCUUCGCGUUCUUCACAUCUGAUAUUUUCUCGAAGGUUGAUUCAUCCAUUCCUUGAAAGAUACUAUUCAAGGCCUUUUGAUCCUUCUUUCGUGCUUCUCGUAACGCCUUCUUAGCGUCAUUUGAUAAAGCUGCUUCUGUAGCGGCAUCUCCGGGCUCGAUGUAUCCUUUUUCAACGAUCUCCCAACAAUCUUGCGAACCGAGCAAAGCCUUCAUUCGAAUGCUCCAAUUUCCAUAAUUUGUCUUCGUCAAUUGUGGAACUUGUAGCUGAAUUACGUCGCCCAUAUCGACUUGUUAGAUGAACACCAAAGGUACUCCGAACUGGACACGAACCGGACACGAACCGAACUCCGAACCAAGCUCUGAACCGUAGCUCUGAUUCCACUUGUUGGAAACGUGAUGGGCCGAAAAUUUACUUUUUAUUACACACUCAAUAUAUUACAAUACGAAGAUUACAAAUAUUUUCUCAAUGACUAGAUAGUCUAGCUGCUGCUAGAUUUUAACUCACUCAAGGUUUGCUAACCUUCUCACUCUCACUCACGUUGCUUCUCUUAUUUCUUUUUUCUUCUCAUUUUUCUUUUUUACAACACAAGUUCAAGCCUCUAUUUAUAGGCUGAUAAAGUGACAACAAAUGUGGCUAUUAAUCCACUUAAUUUCCAGCCACAAAACAUCUCAAUAAUGGAGCACUUUGUAUGGCUAAAAUUUCAGCACUUUGCAUGGCACAAAAUUGCUCCACGUCUCAUGCUUCUAGAUUAUGCUUGGAGUGGGUUUGAUUUCUAACACAGCCACCAGGGUUAGAGCAACAAGGGCCGAAUGGUGAGCACUUAGUUUGUAAACUAAGAAAGACUUUAUAUAGACUUAAACAAGCACAUCGGGCUUGGUUUCAUAAGUUGAAAGAAUUUCUUGUAAACACAGGGUUUGAAGUCUCCAAAGCUGAUAAUUCUCUCUUCAUUCUUCAGUCAGAGUCUCAAUUACUUUAUGUUUUAGUCUAUGUUGAUGACAUUAUCAUCACUGGGAAUAAUUCUCAGGCUAUAGACCUGUUUGUCACACAACUCAAUGUUCCGUUCUCUUUAAAAGAAUUGGGGAAGUUGAGCUAUUUCCUUGGCAUCGAAGUUAACUACACUUCAGAUGGUGUAUUUCUUACUCAGAAAAAAAAUAUAUUCUUGACCUUCUACAAAGAGCCUCUAAUGAUAGAUAAAAUGGCUUGCCAACACCAAUAGUUUUCACAUGUCGACUGUCAGCUGAUAUAGGCAGUCCUGUUGAAGAUGAACGUCAUUACAGGAGCAUUUUUGGCGCCUUAUAGUACGUGGUAAUCACUAGACCAGACAUUGCUUACUCCAUCAACAAGGUUUGCCAGUUCAUGCAUAAACCUUUGGACUUGCAUUUCAAAGCUGUGAAAAAGGAUAUUGAGGUAUUUACAAGGGACACUGAACUAUGGGUUGAGAUUCACUCAAGCUUCAAAGUUUGUGCUUGAAGGAUAUUCCGAUGUUAGUUGGGGGUCCGAUGUUGAUGAUUGCAGGUCAACCUCCGGCUUCUGUGUGUUUCUUGGAAGGAACCUAAUUUCCUAGAGUUCAAGAAAACAGCAGGUAGUCUCUAGGUCUACAGCAGAAGUAGAAUAAAGAAGUGUCACUCAUGUUACUGCAGAAAUGGUGUGGAUCCGAUCCUUAUUGACUGAGUUAUGUGUUCCAGUUCAGAAUAAUGCUUUGAUAUGGUGUGACAGCUCAGCUGCGAUUGCGGUAGCAGAAAAUCCUGUUAUGCACUCCAAGUUCAAGCAUGUCGAAUUGGACUUGUUCUUUGUUAGAGAGAAGGUUGCAGAUAGGAAGUUCCAAGUAGGACAUGUACCUAGUGGCAUGUUAGGAAUAACUACUAUUAGUUAUUGUUAGUUAGUAAGUUGUUAACAGUUUGUUAACAGUUUCAGUUAGCUGAUUCUCUUAUAUUAAAUACAUGCCACUCGUUUUGAUUAACAACAUAAAGAGAAUUCCUUUCUACCUCAUGUAUAGUUGAAUAUUAACAAUGAACGGGCUAUUUAAAAUGCUGGAUGUGGUAGUCAAGGAGACAAUCUGUUGAUAUUUUUGAAGGGUACUAUAGGCUCAAUUGUGGGUAUUAAAAGCGUCAUUGACCAAUUUUACAUUUUGUCUACACUGCAACUUAAAGCGUCAAAAGUGAGGUUUUUGCUAUUGGUAUUUCUCAAGAAGAGUUGGAUGCAAUUUAUCAUGUCACUAGAUUUCAGAUAGGGAAGCUACCUAUACCGUACUUGAGGGCACCCCUUGUGACCAGAAGGUUAACAACAAUAAGGGUGUUUUCCUUUAUUGGAGAAGAUUUCUGCUUGUAUUUCUUCUUGGAUGCAGGUAGAGCGUAGCUUGUUCAAUCGAUAAUCUUUCAUGUUCAAAAUUUUUGGUAUAGGCAAUUUAUUUUGUCAAAAGUUAUACUCCAACGUAUUAAUCAGAUUUACGCCUGAUUUUUGGAAAGGGAAAGAUGGGGCGACAAAGGGAGUAAGGGCAAGUAGGGGGAGAAAUUUGUAAGCCCAAAUUCGAAGGGGGACUUGGUUUAAAGAAUCUUAAGAUAUGGAUCCGUGCUAAUAUGAUGUUAGAAGAUCCAAGCCACUUUGGCUCUCGCUUUGGAUAGCUUGCAUGCAAGCUUAUAUUUUAAAAGAUCAAUAGUUGUGGCAGGUCACGGUGAAUGAUCUUGGAGUUGCGAGAGGAAGCUAGUUCUUGCUUAUACUUGCUGGUAGGUCAUGGUGAAUUGCCUGUGAAAAAGGACCGGGUCGAAAUUAGAAUGAAAGAAGGUAAAAUCCCUUGCCAUGAAAUUCUUUAGCAUCCACUACAUAUAUCGAACCAUUCUAUUGUUGCUUGGAUGGCGAUUCUGAAGAGGUUACCAACCAAAAAGAGACUUCGGUCUAUGAGGCUUAAUAUCAACACUUACUGCAAAUUGUGUAGUGGGCUGAGGAGACAAGGGAUCAUCUGUUUUUUUUAUUAUGAGUUCUCGAAGGAAGUUUGCGGAGCAGUUCUUAAGCUUUGCAAUAUUAAUAGAAGACUUAGUUGUUAGAGUCAAGAACUCAGGUGGGCUAUCACAUAAAAAGGGAAAAUUGACAAUGAUUAAAAAUAUUGAACAAAAAUUAGAUUAAGGGGGUAAAACUAUUAAUACUUGUCAUUAGGCUUCUUCAAGACACCCAUACCUACUUUCUUUAAAUUUAAUGGUCCUAGACAUAAAAAGAGGAGGAGCGUUCUAAGUAACACGAUGUGCAUAUCGUGAGUUGCCUUAUUUAUAUCUUAAAAUGUGUUUAUUUGAAAAUUUUAAAAAUGAUCUUUGAAAAAAAUGAAAAUAUGUAAAAAUAAAAAAAACUAUUUUCAUAGUUUUCACUAAAACUAAAAUAAGGUAUUUUUGUUUGAUUUUCACCAUAAAAAAAGUAAAAUUUUUAAAAAGGAUUUAUUUUUAUUUUUCUGAACUUUUAAGAUUCAAGAUUAAAUUGAUAGAAUAUGUAAAGUUAAACACUAAAUUUAUUGAUUGUUUUAGAAUUUUGACCAAAUUGAUAGAAUCUGUAAACAUUAGGAGGCUAAAUUUGUUAUUAUACCAUAAGAAAAGUUCACAUCAAUGUUCUGUUAAUGAUUUAAUGAAAUAGUGACCAAAACAUCAAAUGUCGAUAACUAAAAUAAAAUUUUAUGGACCUAAGUGACUAAAAUAAAUACACGUUAAUAAUUGGGUAACUAUUAUAAGAAUUUUACGAAAGAGAAUGUAAUUUGAGAUGAAAAUUUAUAACCGUUAAAAUCUAAAUUUAAUUAAAAAUAAUUAUAUAACUCAAUUAAACUAAAGUUCAGAAUUUAUGUGACACAUCACUUCAUGUAGAGAUGCAUUUUGUAUUUGCAUAAGAACAUUACUUUCCCCUUCUAUUAUUAUUAUUAUUAUUAUUAUUAUUAUUAUUUGAUUCUCUAUUAUUGGUUUCAAUUCUUCCUCAUUUAUUCCACUAUAAAAUUGUUUGAAAGUACUAUUUCGAAUUUCCAUAGAAUAAUUUUAUUAUAGAUUUUGAUCAUAUUUGUAUUUUUUAGUAUAAUAUUUAGAAUUACCCAUAGCCCUUACUCAACCCAUAAAUAAGAUGAUAAUGCGAUUGAAGUACACUCGAACCAUAUCAUCUUGUAUUGACAACAAUACUCAUACCAAUCGAAUUAAUACUUAAUUGACCUAUAUUCGUAAAAUUAAAAUAACAAAAAAAAAGCAAAUAAAUCAAAGGAAAGUAUAUAUGCCAAAGAUAACAUAGUGCAAGCCUUCCACACGACAUUUCUACAUCGUCAUAUGCCCCAUGUCUUGUUAUAUUAAUAUCGAAGAUGAGUAAAUGUAAAAUUCCAAGUUUAAUUCAAUUUCUACAUGUAAUAUAUGAAAUUAAUUUACAAAUUUAGAUUUAAUUUUCAGCAUUUAUAAUUUAUAUUUUUAAAUUUUCGACACAAGACUUGCAUAUGAAAAAUAAAUAAAUGUAUCAAUAAUUUAUAAUUAAUUAUUCUCUCUAUUUAUUUUCUAAUAUUCUUCGAGGUUGAUAUCAUGUGCAUAAAUUUUAGUCCUAUGGUUUCGAAAAGGAAAAAAAGUUUUACAUAAAAAAUCGAUAACUCAUCUAUUCUUUAUGUAUGCGUUUAAAAAAAUGUAUAUAUACGUGAUAAUAAUUGACACAUUAAUUUAUGUUAUGUAUUAAUUGGACAUCAAUUCAAUUACAAAAAAAUUAAAAAACAAUUUAAAAAAAACAAUAAAUUUUAUUAUAAGAAUAUUUAUGUUUUUCCAUACUUUAUAAUUUUUUUAAAAUAAAUAAUUUAAAUUAUGAGAAAAGAUGGUAUGAAACUGUGAUAUCAGGUCAUCCUUAUCACUUUCUAAUAUUAGAAGAAUGAAAAAUCAGAUUUUUCCUCUUGAUUUUUGGCUUUUUCCUCCUGAAAAAAAAAUUAAAUCCAACUAGAAAUGCUAAAAAUCAAGAGAAAAAAUUUGAUUUGUCAUUCUCUUAUUAGAAAGGGAUAAGGAUGAUAUGGAAUCACAGAUUCAUACAAUCCCUUCUCUUAAACUACAACUUUAAAAUAAAUUUAAAAAUAGAUAAAUGUUAAGCUUGAAAUGUUGGUUUGAUUUUAUAAAGUUUUUCAUAUUGACUUGUGUAUUACGUAAUUCAAUAUAUAAUUUGUUAAUGUCAACUUGGAUCAACAGGGAUUUGGAUUGGUAAUUGAGUUGUGAAAGUGAGAAGGCCUACAAGAAAGAAAUAAAGAAAGAUGAGUUAUGGGUAGCGGGAGUUAAUAUUCCAAUCGCUCUUUGAUUCUUAAGUUAAUGGUUUUUGUUUAAGAAAAAUGAAAAAAGGUACAAGAUGAUGAAUAGGUCACAUAGCCUGACCACACGAGUGUGUAAUAGAGUCACACAGGCGUGUCCCUUAGCCACACGGGCGUGUGACCCCUGCACUUAGGAAAAAUUUUGAUAAUUCACGAAAAAUUUCCAAAGUACACGAUUAAGUCCCGAUUUAUUUUUAACGCGUAUUUUGGUCCUCAAGGGCCCAUAAAAGGGACGAUAUGUUUAAUUUAUGAUUUGUAUGCUAUUUGAUUUAUUUAUUAUUCGUAUUUGAUUUGAAAAGUUUGGUAAUGCUCUAUAACCCUGUUCCAGUGACGGAUAAGAGUUAAGGGGUGUUACACAAAAGAACCAUCACAGUUUUUCUUAAAGUAAACACAAUUGUCAAAGCUACUUCUUUUAAAAUCAUGAGAAGUUAUAAAGGAAUCAAACCUCUUGUACCAUUGUUUUAGUGACUGUUUCAAAUCGUAAAGUGACUUUUUCAGCAAACAAACAUAGUCCUAUUUUUCUGAGACUGUAAAACCCUCUGGUUGUUGCAUGUAAAUAUCCUCCUCAAGUUCUCCAUGCAAAAACAUAGUUUUUACAUCUAACUGCUCAAGCUCCAAAACAUGCAAGGCCAUAAUACUAAGCAAACCUCGAAUCAAACUAUGUUUCACAACUGGGGAGAACACAUCUAUGAAGUCCACUCUUGGAAUUUGACAAUAACCCUUUGCAAACUUUGCUUUAUAUCUAGGUUCUUCAACUCCUGGAGUCUCUUCUUUCUUUUUAAACACUCAUUUACAACAAACAACCUUUUGACCUUUAGGAAGUUUCACAAUAUCCCAUGUUCUGUUUUUGUGGAGUGAUUUCAUCUUCUCUUGCAUAGCAAACAUCCACUUUUCUGAGUCUUCACAGCUAACCGCCUUAGAAUAAUUAGAUGGCUCUUGGUUUGCAUCUAUAUCUUCAGCCACAUUUAAAGCAUAGGCAACUAGAUCAGCCUCGGCAUACUUCUUUAGAGGUUUAAUUUCUUUUUUAGUUCUAGUUUUAGCAAUAGAGUAUUGUGGUGAAAAAGUAACUCUAUUUUGAAUUUUUGUACUGGCUUGAGGAGUAGACUCUGUUGUAGAUUCUGGAUUAAUCUGAUGCUCCACCUAUUUUUGAUUUUCUUUACUGGAAGAGUCUUUAAGAGAUAAGUUAGGUAGCAUAGCAGUUUCAUCAAAAAUAACAUCUCUGCUAAUCACAACUUUUCUAUUUUUAGGACACCAUAACUUAUACCCUUUUGCAUCAGCUUUAUAACCAAGAAAAACACAUUCAAUGGAUCUCAGUUCCAAUUUUUCAUUAUCAACAUGAGCAUACGCAGGAAACUCAAAGAUCUUUAAAUCAGAAUAGUCAGCAGGAUUACCAAACCAUACCUCUUGUGGAGUCUUUUUCUCAAUGGCAACGGAUUGAGAUCGGUUGAUCAAAAAAUAUGCAAUAGAAGAUGCUUCAGCCCAAAACAACUUUAGUAAGUUGGCAUUUGAAAACAUACAUUGAACCUUCUCCAUGAUCGUUCUAUUCAUUCAUUCUACAACGCUGUUUUGCUGUGGAGUAUGACGAACUGUCAAGUGUCUUAAGAUCCCUUCUGACUUGCAUAGUUUAUUAAACUCAUUAGAACAGAGCUCUAAGCCAUUGUCUGUGUGGACGUAUUUUAUUUAUUUUCUGGUCUGUUUUUUAAUCAUAGUUUUCCAAGGCUUAAAUGCGGAAAACACAUCGCUUUUCUGCUUCAGGAAGAAUGCCUAAACUUUUCUGAAAAAAUCAUCAAUAAAGUUAGUAUAUAAUUAGCUCCACCUCUAAAAGGCACUCUGGAUGGCCCCCAUAGAUCAUAAUGAAUAUACUCCAACGUUCCCUUCGUGUUAUGGAUUCUUCUGGUGAAUCAAACUCUCAUUUACUUUCUAAAAACGCAGUACUCAUAUAAUUUCAGUUUACAAAUUCCUUGCCCAUCAAGAAGUCCUCUUUUGCUCAAUUCUACCAUGCCAUUCUCACUCAUAUGCCCUAGACCCAUAUGCCAAAGUUUAGUAAUAUCAUCAUCUGACAAGGAAGAGGAAGCGACAACUGCAUCACCAGUAAUAGUAGAACCUUGAAAAACAUAUAACUUGCCAUUCUUUCUCUACCCUUUCAUCAAAACGAGGGAACCUUUGAAAAUAUUUAAAACCCCACUUUCAGCUGUGUAUUUAUACCCUUUUGAAUUAAGAGUACUUAACGAAAUUAAAUUUCUCUUAAAUUCUAGAAGAUGUCAUACGUCACUAAGUAUUCUGACAACUCCAUCAAAUAUCUUAACUUUAAUUAUUCCAACACAUGUGAUUUUACACGAAGUAUUAUUUCCUAUCAAAAUAACACCUUCAGACACAGUUUCUUAAGUUGUAAACCAAUCCCAAUUGGGACUCAUGUAAAAUGUGUAGCCCGAAUUAAGGAUCCAUUCCUCGCUCACUUUAGAAUUGUUGACAGAAGCAACUAGAAGUUCACCAUCGCUAUAGUCUUCUACAGCAUCAACUUCACCGAAAUUUUUUAGUUAUUUUCCAUUUUGAUUUGCAACCUCCCUUUUAAUCUUAUUCUGUAGCUUAUAGCACUCAGAUUUAAUGUGCCCUUUCUUCUCGCAGAAGUUACAAGUUUUACAUCUGUUUGAAGACUUCGAUCUACCCUUAUAUUUACCGCGAGGAUCCCAUUCCUGUGUCCUUCCACAAUCAUCAUCAGUAUUCCGAUCUUAUCUCCCACAAACAAUAAGACUCUUUCCCUAAGAGUCUGUUUUAACCACAAGAUGCUUCAUCUUAUCAUACGAGGUUAAAGAACCAUAAACCUCAUCAGCUGUGAGAGACUCGCGGCUAUAUAAAAUCGUGUCUCUAAAGGUUGAAUAAGAUGAGGGCAAUGAACAAAGUAGAAUCAACCUUAGAUCUUCCUUAUCAUACUAAACCCCUAUGGCUUCCAAGUUUGAGAGGAUUUCUUUAAACAUUGUUAAGUGUUCGUGCACAGAUACACCUUUCUCCAAACGAUGAGCAUAAAGGCACUACUUCAUAUGCAGCUUGCUGGUUAGAGUUUUUGACAUACAUAUUUAUUCUAGCUUCUUCCAUAAUCCAGCGGUGGCCUUCUCAUUCAUUACAUCUUGCAAAAUUUCAUUAGACAAAUGCAGAUGUAACUGUGUUAUUGCCUUUCGAUCAUUGCGCUUCUUCUCUUUCUCCGUCGAUGUCGAAGACAUCUUAUCUACCCUUAGCAGGGCUUCCUCUUAGUCUAUCUGUGCAAGAACUGUCUGCAUCUUUAUCUGCCACAACGUGAAUCUAGAAUUGCGAUCCAACAGCAGAAUUUUAUACUUCAUAGAUGCCAUUACCGUGAUUCAGAUGAACAACUCGAAAGCUUGGAUACCAAUCUGUAAACAUGGAACGUCGGUAAUGACAAUAUAUUGUAAAGAAAAGAGAAAGAAAAAUAAAGAACACACAGAUUUUUACGUGGAAAUCUUUUCAAGAAAAAAAACCACUUGCAGAGGAGAAGAAAACUCACUAUGUUGAAUUCGAAUGAUUAUAAGAUGAGUAGACUAUGUCUAUUUAAAGGCUUGUAAAACCAUAUUCUGAUAGGAGUGUAGUAAGAUUGAAACACCUUAUUCUAAUCAAUAUCAAAUAGAUAGAGUUUAAUAAUGUUUAAAAAAACCUUAUUCUAAAAUAAAAUAAAAGAAAUGUAUUUUACUUUUAUUUUAUUUUACCACUGUAUUUUAUUUAAAUAAGGAUUUGGGUUACUUAAUUCUAACAACAAAAAAAGGUCUCUCUCCUUCAAGAAACAACACAACAUUUCUUCUUAGGUCUAAUGUGCAUUUUCAUUCCAACAUCAAGUUAUGAUUGUAUAAACAAAAGAAGGUGGAAUAAACAAGCAGUAAAAUACUAAAAAUAGUGCCCAAAUUUUCAAGAGUAAAAGCCUACAUCAACUCGCCAGUGAUGGAUGGUGACCUGGUAGACGCCGGAGUGCCGGACGAAAGGUGGCUAGCCUGGUAGAGAUUUUGGGAGAUUUCAAUUCGGGAUUUUGAAGGUUAGGUAUUAUUUUUUUCUAUCGUUUGUUACUUGCUUUAGAGUUUAGACUUUAAGUUUUAGUUUUAUAUUUUUAUUUUUAUUUAUUAAAUUAUUUGUAUUUUUUAUGAUUGGGUUGGGUAAUUGGGUUGGGUUGGGUUGGGUUGGGUACUUGGGUUUAUAUAUAUUAAAUUGGGUUUAUGUUGCAUUGGGUUUGGGUGAAUAGUGGGCCUAUUUAUAUAUUAUAAUUUUAUUUAUUAAUUUUUUUAGUUAAACCGAAAAAAUUCGGUUAACAGACAGAUUUUGAACCAAAUUACCGUUAACCGAAAAUUCAAAAAAUUAUUAACCGACCCCCAACCAAAAAAAUUCGGUUAACCGACCGAUUAACCGAAUUCGGUUGGUUAACUGAAUUUUUUCGGUUUUACCUGAAAUUUGCACACCGCUACUGGCAGGGGUCCCAAUUUCCCCCUAAAAUGGAAAAUUUUUCAUAUAAGUGCUUUAAAUUUUUUACAAUUUAAAUUAGAAAAAAUAAAAUUGCAAUUUGCCCUCCUAAAAAUGAUAAAAUUUAAUUUAAUAUUUUAAAAAUUAUUGAAAUUGUGAAAUUAUAUUUUUACUAUCAUAAAAAUUAUAAUUUAAUUUCGGUCCCUUAAAAAAUUUUCUAGCUUCAUCUAUGUGAAAUACAAAUAUAUUACAAUAACAAUUCCCACCAAAGCAUCUUACAAAAUACGACUACAAAAUAUCCUAACAAAAUUUAGGAUAAAUAAUGAAAAUUUCAAGAUAUUGUUUUAAGCUUUGAUACGGGGGCUGUGGAGAUUUCACAUGUAAAGGAGCAACAAUAUGCGUAUUGAAUAAGCUUUGAUACAGCUCCUUGUACGACAUUGAAAUUGGCGUGAACUGGAGCUUUAAUAUUUUAAAAUUAUUUUUUAAAAUUUUUUAAAAUUUUAAAUUAGUAAAAAUAAAAUUAUAUUGAAAUUGGAGUGAACUGGAGCUUUAAUAUUUUAAAAUUAUUUUUUAAAAUUUUUUAAAAUUUCAAAUUAGUAAAAAUAAAAUUAUACUUUGACCCCCUUAAAAAUGAUAAAAAUUGAUUUAAUAUUUUAAAAAUUAUAAAGAUAUAAACUAUUAAAAUUGUAAAAUUACAUUUUUAGUAUCAUAAAAAUUACAAUUUAAUUUCAAUCUCUUAAAAAAAAUUUCUGACCUCGCCCCCGAGUGAAAUACAGAUAUAUUACAAUAACAAUUCCCACCAAAUUAUCUUACAAAAUAGGACUACUUGUUAGGAUAAAUAAUGAAAAUUUUAAGAUAUAUUCUUUAAAUCACUCAAUCCAAUUUCCAUAAAAUAGGAAAUUCGAUUUGCAUGAUGAAUUGAAAUUCGAUCAUUUAUGAUUUGUUCCUAGAUUAUGAGUUCAACGUUCAAAUAGAUUUAGCUAAAAUGAUUAUCAGUUCUAAACAUGAUAAAUUAUUGUUUCAGCCUAGCUACAAUAUAAGUUGAAACUGCUCUUGUAGCUGAAACCAUAAUUUCUCCAACAGAGGUCUCAUCUGCACCACAUUUAUUGAGCAAAAUUUAUGAUUAAACAACUAUAUUUUCCAAAUAAUUUAAAUUUAUUUCAAAUCUACCCGUAAAAGAGCUAAAGGGGUACAGGCAGUAGGGGCUUUAAUGCAACUAAAAUCAUGUCAAGCAUUUACAUUGGUAUGUAAACUGGCACCAUUGAAGGAACGUUUGAUUCCUUUGAACAAUAUUGUCUAGCAAGCAUCAGAACCUCCUUUCCAAAACUUUCAAAGCAUAAUUAUAUGUUUUCUCUUUAUUAAAUUUGAUUCUCGAUUUUUUGUUGCUUCUUCUAAUCAUAUCUACUAUAAAUUUGCCUUAGUUUAUUGCUAAAAACACAACUUAAAACAAAAGAUUUUAACUAGAAAUCAUAAAUGGGACAGCCACAAAGCAAACCAAGCAAACCAAGGUUUCCUCAACCAGGGGAUCACAUCUACUUGAUUUAAGAUAUAAUGAAACUACUUGAUUUCAAGUUAAAUUAAUUACAUAUGAAAUAUUAUUAAUUACAUAAAAUUAUAACAUCUUAACUUGUUUGCAUAAAACAACCAUGUCAAUAAAGUUUCAUCUACAUCUAUAGGAUAAAUUUUGAUCAUAAAUCAACUAUAACUUUACAAUAUCUUAAAUUUGAUUCCUUUGAACAAUGUUGUCCAGCAAGCAUAAGAACCUCCUUUUCCAAAGUAUCUUACAAAAUAGGACUACUUUAUUAGGAUAAAUAAUGAAAUUUUCAAGAUAUUCUUUAAAUCACUCAAUCCAAUUUCCAUAAAAUAGGAAAUUCGAUUUGCAUGAUGAAUUGAAAUUCGAUCAUUUAUGAUUUGUUCCUCCGUUAGAUUAAUCUUCUAAGAUGUGCCAUGAAAGCUUCCAAUAGAUUUAGCUAAAAUGAUUAUCAGUUCUAAACAUGAUAAAUAAUUGUUUCAGCCUAGCUACAACAUAAAUUGAAACUGCUCUUGUAGCUGAAACCAUAAUUUCUCCAACAGAGGUUUCAUCUGCACCACAUUUAUAGAGCAAAAUUUAUGAUUAAACAACUAUAUUUUCCAAAUAAUUUAAAUUUAUUUCAAAUCUAUCCGUAAAAGAGCUAAAGGGUAUAGGCAGUAUGGGGUUUAAUGCAACUAAAAUCAUGUCAAGCAUUUACAUUGGUAUGUAAACUGGCACCAUUGAAGGAACGUUUGAUUCCUUUGAACAAUAUUGUCUAGCAAGCAUCAGAACCUCCUUUCCAAAAUAAUUAUAUGUUUUCUCUUUAUUAAAUUUGAUUCUCGAUUUUUUGUUGCUUCUUCUAAUCACAUCUACUAUAAAUUUGCCUUAGUUUAUUGCUAAAAACACAACUUAAAACAAAAGAUUUUAACUAGAAAUCAUAAAUGGGACAGCCACAAAGCAAACCAAGCAAACCAAGGUUUCCUCAACCAGGGGAUCACAUCUACUUGAUUUAAGAUAUAAUGAAACUACUUGAUUUCAAGUUAAAUUAAUUACAUUUGAAAUAUUAUUAAUUACAUAAAAUUAUAACAUCUUAACUUGUUUGCAUAAAACAACCAUGUCAAUAAAGUUUCAUCUACAUCUAUAGGAUAAAUUUUGAUCAUAAAUCAACUAUAACUUUACAAUAUCUUAAAUUUGAUUCCUUUGAACAAUGUUGUCCAGCAAGCAUAAGAACCUCCUUUUCCAAAAGCUUCACAGUAUAGGUAUAUUUCUUUAUUAAAUUUGAUUGUUGAGUUUAUGUUACUUGUUCUUAUCAUAUGUAUUAUAAUUUUAUUUUAGUUUAUGCUCAAAACAUAACUAUAUAUAUACAUAUGACUUUAUCCAUACACAUAUAUCAUUUGCUUCUUCAAUAACAGUUACUUUGAUAACAAAAUCUCUCGGAAAGAGAUUUAAAAACCUAGCUAAUUGGAUAGAACAGACAAAUUGGCAUAAAAUUCAUUAAAAGUUUCAUUCACCAGUAUUCCGAGAAGCAAAUUUUAUGAUUAGCAUCUAUAGCUUCAAUUGUUUCAAGAAUAUCACAUUUUUCUUCCACAAAAUGGCAUUCAAAGCCUUGAAAUUGGUUGCAACUUGCAAGAGGUUCCCUUCCAAUGAGAAUUGCACGCCGAGUCUUUUCAUCGAUUGAUUUUAUAAAAGUCUUCAUCUUUGGAUCCAUCCAACAUGAGUCUGAAAAACAGAAGAACCUUUCAAAAAUUAAUAUCAAAAUCAUCGCUUACUAUGUCAAGUGUCUCGCUCUGAUAAUAAAUAGAAGAAACAAGUGAUUUUUGCAUUGAUAUUUGUGUAGUUAUACGAGUAGUUAUAACUAAGGAGACUAGCAAGUGAAGAAAAACAACACAAAAAGAUUGGUUACACAGUUCAAUUUCAACCAUGUACAAGUGAUGAUUUUGUUGGAAAAAUCGGUUUAGAAAACAAUGUUUUUAGACACAAUGGAAGUUUGCUUUUUUUUAAAAAAAUCAAGUCUUGUGAUAUUUAUAGCAUUAAACUUUAACUGAAAUUAUAUAUGUGCUCUGUACGAGGUGAUUAAGUUGAUCUCAGCUUUCUAUUGAACGGCCUUCUUUUCUAUUCAUAAACAGAUUUAAGAUCUAUUUUACUUGGAUUCUAUACAAUAUACUAUCAGCCAAGUCAGUCACUUCUAUAUCUCUGUCUUCUAAGAGUCAUCUGCUUCAAUAUCAAGAUAAUGUAUCUCUCCAAUUGGAUUUGAUAGACGACAUAUUAAUUUUUCAAUUGGUUUGUUCAAUUUCGAUUAGAUUAAGAACAUGUUUGGAUUAUCUAUUAAUUGUUUUUUCUUAUUACGAUCCCACCACAUAAUACUGCUAAAUAUUAGUUAAACUUUAGAUAAUUAGUAAACUAAUAUUUGUUUUCAUUUUCUUUACGUGCAAAAUCUACUAAAGACAAUAUAUGAAUAAAUUAAUGAUACUGAAGGAUAUUUUAUUAAACCAAUUUUUUUAAAAAUUACAAGUACAUAUAAACAAAAUCACUACACUAAGAGCACUAGAUCUUGACGGAUUUAAAUCCUACAACUCACUAUAUAUCAAACUUACACUUGUACAAAAAAUCUAGACCACUUUCCACUAAAUUUUCUAUAAAAUAAGGCAGCUAUAAAAUAAAAGUGGUUCCUAAUACAAUAAUAUAAAGCUCUAACUUUCUUACAAACUAAAUCAAGCUUCACAUAUAGUUAUUUUAGCCACGCUAAAAUUUUAAAUUAGUAAAAAUAAAAUUGUACUUUAACACCCCUUAAAAAUGAUAAAAAUUUGAUUUAAUAUUUUAAAAAUUAUAAAGAUAUAAACUAUUAAAAUGGUGAAAUUACAUUUUUAGUAUCAUAAAAAUUACAAUUUAAUUUCAGUCCCCUACAAAAUUUUUCCGACUUCGCCCCUGAGUGAAAUACAAAUAUACUACAAUAACAAUUCCCACCAAAGUAUCUUACAAAAUAGGACUACUUUAUUAGGAUAAAUAAUGAAAUUUUCAAGAUAUAUUUCUUAAAUCACUCAAUCCAAUUUCCAUAAAAUAGGAAAUUCGAUUUGCAUGAUGAAUUGAAAUUCGAUCAUUUAUGAUUUGUUCCUAGAUUAUGAGUUCAACAUUCAAAUGGAUUUAGCUAAAAUGAUUAUCAGUUCUAUAAACAUGAUAAAUUAUUGUUUCAGCCUAGCUACAAUAUAAGUUGAAACUGCUCUUGUAGCUGAAACCAUAAUUUCUCCGACAGAGGUUUCAUCUGCACCACAUUUAUUGAGCAAAAUUUAUGAUUAAACAACUAUAUUUUCCAAAUAAUUUAAAUUUAUUUCAAAUCUACCCGUGAAAGAGCUAAAGGGGUAUAGGCAGUAGGGGCUUUAAUGCAACUAAAAUCAUGUCAAGCAUUUACAUUGGUAUGUAAACUGGCACCAUUGAAGGAACGUUUGAUUCCUUUGAACAAUAUUGUCUAGCAAGCAUCAGAACCUCCUUUCCAAAACUUUCAAAGCAUAAUUAUAUGUUUUCUCUUUAUUAAAUUUGAUUCUCGAUUUUUUGUUGCUUCUUCUAAUCACAUCUACUAUAAAUUUGCCUUAGUUUAUUGCUAAAAACCCAACUUAAAAUAAAAGAUUUUUGUUGACACCAUUUUUUUGAUGAAACGGGGGUCGGCUUGGAUUUUGAAAAUAAAAACGAAAAUGGGAGUCGCCACCAAUCCUUUUUGAUUAGGUGUGAUCGGGUCACCUCGUGAAAGUGGUUAUUUUUAAUAAACAAUUUAAUUUUAUUAAAACAACGAGUUUGGUCCACGAAAUUCAGAAAACGGGUUCGGGAGUCGAUUACGUACGAGGAAGGAUUAGCACCCUCGUAACACCCAAAAUUGAUACCUAGUUGAUUAGUUAAUGUCUUAAUGUCGAAAAUUGAAAACUUUGAAGAAUUUUAAAAAUGCGAUCCUUGUAUUAAAAUGUUGAAAAUUUUUGGGAAAAGGGCAUAUUUCACGUUAAUCGAGAAAAAGAAUCAUAUCUAGUAAGUUAGGACACAAUGUCUCGAAUUCCCGAUAUGCGAAUGAAUGCUAAAAAUUUGCUUAUUUAAAAGAUAUUUAGUUGUCUCGAAUUUCAGAAAAAAAGGGAUCAGGCCCAGUAAGUUAGGACUUGAUCCUUUCUUAAUUUCCGAGGUCGUUUAAAGCUUAGGUUUAAAAAAAGACUCGUGUAAUAAAGUUUAAAAGGAUAUUCAAUUGUUUAAGUCAGAUAAAGAAAUCGCAACUCAAUACGUUAGGGCACAAUUUCUCAAAAUUCUAAACAUUAAAUAUUGCCUUCAUUAUUUUUUAGAAAAAAAACCUCAUCUCGGGAAAACAACGUAUCAUAUCCAAUACGUUAGGACACAACGUAUUGAAUUCCCGAUAAUGAGCUUUUUUAUUUUUUAUAAAAGAGUAAUCUCGAUUAUUUAGAUUCAACGAAGAAAAUCGGAACCCAAUACGUUAGAGCUUGAUUCUCUCAAAAAUCCCAAAUACCGAGUAUUACUUAUAUUUUUUUUUUGAAAUCGAAAUAAAAAUGGGUGUAAUUGAAUGAUGAUGAUAAUGUAAGUAAAAUAAUCACGAGCAAAACAAAAUAUAAAUAAGUAAUAAGACUAAUAUAAAAACAAUCGUGCAGACAUCAUGGCAAAUACUAAACAGACAAAACUAAAGCAAGAUAAAAUAACAAUAACAGAUAUGUACAUAAAUAAAUAAAUGAAGAAAAUAAAUAAAAAAUUUAUAUAUGAAUUAUAAAAUAUGAAAAUAUAAGUAUUUACAUAUAUAUAUAUAAAGAUUAUAAAAUACAAAAAUAUAAAAAAUAUAAGUAUGUACGUUAUAAAAACGUGUGUAUGUACGUAAAUUUAUAAAAAUAUGGAAAAUAUGUGUAUAUAUGUAUUUUAAAAUUAUUAAAUAUAAAAGUUUAUGUAAAUAUAUAUAUACUCGUAUAUGUAUAUAAAAUGUAUAUAAAAAUUAUAAAAUAUGAAAUAUAUAUAUAAGUAUGUAAUAUAUAUAUAAAUAAAUAAAUUAUAAAAAUAUGUAUGUAUAUAAAAAUGUACGCAUGCACAUGUAUAUAUAUAGUAAAAUUGGAAAUUGCAAAUAUAUAUAUAAAUGAGGAAAUAAUAAUAAUAAUAAUAUAAUAUUAAUGGUGUAAUAUAAUAAUGGUAGUAACAGUAAAAUAAUUAAUUAAAUAAUAUAAUAUUCAAAACAUGGACUAAAUUGAACUAAAAAACAAAAAAACGAGGCGGAUUUGAAAUAAAUGAAAAGAAAGAACUUAUUUGAACGCGCGAAUAACAUGCGGGGACAGGAAGAGGAAUUUCUCCUUUUCCCCAAAACGACGUCGUUCCCGCGAGGACCAAACCGUAAUCGUAGAAAAAUAUCGGGGCGAAAUUGAAAAAUAAAAAACUCUUGAUUGCAAAUAAUAAAAAAGACGAAAGGGCUAAAGCUGCAAUUAGCCCUUCCGUUGAAAACACGCGGAUCCUCCCUCCAGGGUCGGGUCACCGCGCGGGUCAGGGCCAAAACGGCGUCGUUUUGGCACCUGACCCUUAAUAGCAAAACGGCGACGUUUUAAUAGUAUUAUAAAAGCCAAUUUUUUUUAAAAAACUUCCAAAAGAUCAACAAAAAAUCUCUCUAGUUUCCUCUCCCCUUUCCGAACUCCGGCCCUAGGUCCGGUGAGGCUCCGCCGUUGACGCCGUCGAGCCGACCACCGUACACGCUGGCUGGAAAAUUGAAAAAUGGGUAUUUUUUGCUUUUUUUUUUACGUUUAUACGUUAUAUAUAUAGUUUUUAAAAAAAUAAAAGAAACAAAAUAGAAUACAAAUAGUUUCGAAAAGAAAAAAUAAAGAAAAAAAUAGAAAAGGAAAAUAGAUAUACCGAAAAAGGGUUUUUGAAUCUGCUUUUUUUUUUUUUGCUUUUUUAUUUCUUCCUUCUUUAUCUCCAAAAAUCCUCCUCUUACAUUUUACAACACAUUCGGCUUUAUAGCCGAAAGAAAAGAAAAAAAAGAUCUAAGAAAAUCUCUCAUUGCUACUGUUUUCUUCUGCUUUGCGUGUUCCUUUUCACUUUGCAAGGACUGAUGGUGGCGUAGCAGUGAGCAGGUGCAUGGGAGCGGCGCAAAAGGGGCUAGGGUUUCUGCUGAAGAGUUAGGUUUUGGGCCAUUUGGGCCUCUAGGGUUUUUUUGUAAUUUGGGUCUGUUGGGAUUUAGUUAUUUUUGGGCUAGGGGUUUUAUUUUAAUUUUGUUUAUUUUUGUUGUGUUUAAGGCCCGGGUAAAAUUGGGCCUGUACAAAUUUAACUAGAAAUCAUAAAUGGGACAGCCACAAAGCAAACCAAGCAAACCAUGGUUUAUUCAACCAGGGGAUCACAUCUACUGUCAAAGAAAGGGAGGUCUCUAUUAUCACCAUGGUUUGCUUCUAUUUCUUUUCAAUUUUUUAUCCAUAUACCCAGAAGAUCAUAACAUGUAUACACACACAUAAACAUUGGAUGUUUCUGAUUGAGCACUGCAGGAAUAUAUGUGGGGGACGACAUGGUUAUUCAUCUCCAGGGAAAAGCCAAGAAACUUGAGCCGCUACCUGAAUGCCGUAAAUGUAAAGACAAGCGUGUCCAAAAUGGUGAAAUAGCAAAAGUAUGCAUAGAUUGUUUCCUUCGUGGUGAAAGGCCCCGGAUCUAUGACUAUGGAGUUUCCCUUUUAGAGUUCCUUGCAAGAAAAGGUGGUACUUGCUGCCAACGCGAUUCCAAGCCUCCCCAUGAAGUUAUUAGCAUCGCAACUUAUUUACUUGAACGGAAUAGGUUUGGCCCCUACGGCAUGCUUACUAACAACUGUGAGCACUUCGCUGUGUUUUGCAAAACAGGCUCUGCCGCAAGUUACCAGAUUGAAUGCAUUGCAAGAGGUAUUGGUGCUGGUCCCGUUGGUAGGCUUGCUGGCGCUGCUAUUGCGGUAGCUUGGCGUGUUUCGAAAGGCGUUAGGAAAACAUGAAGCUCCUGGUAACUUCUGCCUGCAACUCAUUCACGGGACUUCAAUUACAUCUUACUUAUAAGUAUGAACCAUGUUAAGAAGAUCUCAUAUCCCAAUAAACUUAAAACUCAAAGCCAACUAGUGCUGAUAUUCACCUAUAUGCAAAUAUGAAUUAUUUAUCAUCUUUUUAUAAAUACUAAAUAUUUUAUGAGGGUAGAAAUUGCAUAUUUGGUAUAUAAGUGUGUGUUUGAAAACAAUAGAAAAUAAAUAAUAAAAUAUAUGAUUUGAAACUAAUAAUAACAAUACAUAUGCAAAAUGCACAAAAUUAAAAUGAAAAAUUAGUUUAAAUUGUGAGUAAAAAAAUUUAAAUAGAUAUCAUAUUAAGAAUAUCAAAUUCACUCCAAUUGCUUAUCAUUGGUAUUGUUAUUUUUCUGUAGCACUUAAAAUGUUAUUUUGUUAAUAUGCUAUCAAAAUGUUAUCAUAUUGGUGAAAGGAAAAUUCAAUAUAUUCUUUAAAUCACUCAAUCCAAUUUCCAUAAAAUAGGAAAUUCGAUUUGCAUGAUGAAUUGAAAUUCGAUCAUUUAUGAUUUGUUCUUCCGUUAGAUUAAUCUUCUAAGAUGUGCCAUGAAAGCUUGCAACAGAUUAUGAGUUCAACAUUCAAAUAGAUUUAGCUAAAAUGAUUAUCAGUUCUAAACAUGAUAAAUUAUUGUUUCAGCCUAGCUACAACAUAGGUUGAAACUGCUCUUGUAGCUGAAACCAUAAUUUCUCCAACAGAGGUUUCAUCUACACCACAUUUAUUGAGCAAAAUUUAUGAUUAAACAACUAUAUUUUCCAAAUAAUUUAAAUUUAUUUCAAAUCUACCCGUGAAAGAGCUAAAGGGGUAUAGGCAGUAGGGGCUUUAAUGCAACUAAAAUCAUGUCAAGCAAGCAUUUACAUUGGUAUGUAAACUGGCACCAUUGAAGGAACGUUUGAUUCCUUUGAACAAUAUUGUCUAGCAAGCAUCAGAACCUCCUUUCCAAAACUUUCAAAGCAUAAUUAUAUGUUUUCUCUUUAUAAAAUUUGAUUCUCGAUUUUUUGUUGCUUCUUCUAAUCACAUCUACUAUAAAUUUGCCUUAGUUUAUUGCUAAAAACCCAACUUAAAACAAAAGAUUUUAACUAGAAAUCAUAAAUGGGACAGCCACAAAGCAAACCAAGGUUUCUUCAACCAGGGGAUCACAUCUACUGUGAAAGAGAGGGAGGUUUAUAUGACCACCAUGGUUUGCUUCUAUUUCUUUUCAAUUUUUUAUCCAUAUACCCAGAAGAUCAUAACAUGUAUACACACACAUAAACAUUGGGUGUCUCUGAUUGAGCACUGCAGGAAUAUAUGUGGGGGACGACAUGGUUAUUCAUCUCCAGGGAAAAGCCAAGAAACUUGAGCCGCUACCUGAAUGCCGUAAAUGUAAAGACAAGCGUGUCCAAAAUGGUGAAAUAGCAAAAGUAUGCAUAGAUUGUUUCCUUCGUGGUGAAAAGCCCCGGAUCUAUGACUAUGGAGUUCCACUUAAUGAAUUCCGUUUCAGAAAACGUGGUACUUGCUGCCCACACCAUUCCAAGCCUCCCCAUGUAGUUAUUAGCGCCGCAACUUAUUUCCUUGAAGGGGCAAGCUUUGGCCACUACGAUAUGUUUAAUAACAACUGUGAGAACUUCGCUGUGUAUUGCAAAACAGGCUGUGCCGAUGGUUACCAGAUUGUAGGCUUUCUUGAAAAAGGUAGUCUUGCUACUGCUGCUGUUGCUGCUUCUCUUGGUGGUCCCCCUGGUAUAGUUUUGUGCGCUGCUUCUAUGGCAAUUUAUGGUACUUCGAAAGUGGUCACCGGCCUCAAUAGACACAAUUAGCAAAACAUCAAGCUCCUGGUAACUUCUGCCUGCAACUCAUUCACGGGACUUCAAUUACAUCUUACUUAUAUAUAUGAACCAUGUUAAGAAGAUCUCAUAUCCCAAUAAACUUAAAAGUCAAAGCCAACUAGUGCUGAUAUUUACCUAUAUGCAAAUAUGAAUUAUUUAUCAUUCUUUUUUUUAUAAAUAUUAAAAAUUCUACGAGGGUAGAUAAAUACAUUAUAUUAAGAAUAUCAAAUGCAAUCCAAUUACUUAUCAUUGGCAUAGCACUUAAAAAGUUAUCGUGUUAAUAUGUUAUCAAAAUGGUAUCAUAUUGGUGAAAGGAAAAUUCAAUAUUAAAAAUAUAUUUUUUUAAAAGAUACAAAAUUGAGUUGAUCCGUGACAUUAACUCAAUCAACCAUAUUAUCUAUAUUAGAAAUCUUAUUAUAAGCGUAUACGUGUGAAAAUUAUGUAUUUAGAAUACAAAUUUGUGUUUAAAAAUAACAUACAAUAUAGUUAAUGAAAAAUAUGAUUUGGAAUUAAUUAAUAAUAACACAUGACAUAUGUACAAUACUAAAAUAAAAAAUUAGAUUAAAUUGUGAGUAAAACGAAAUUUAAAUCACAUCAUAUUAAGAAUACUAAAUGAAUACAAUUGUUUAUCAUUAUUUUGUCAUCAAUCCUGAAUUGAAUUUUGUGUUUGUUAACUCGAUUGAUCAACUCAAAGUCUCCAAGAGGGAAGGAGAAUUGACCUUUAAGAAAAAUGAUGGAAGCAAUAAAAGAAAAUGAAACAAUGAACAUAAGAAUUUAUACUGGUUCUGCCCCAAUUGCCUACUCUACUACCUUAGCUUUCUACAACUAAUGAUUUACUAAUUUGAUAACCUUGAGGAUAAUGUUUAACCUUAAAAUUUUCCUUAAAAUUUGUACCCAAAAUCUUAAGUUUGUAACUCUCUUAAGGUUUCUAUUCAAACCUUAAGAUUCAACCAUCUUAAAAAGAUACAAAGAAGCAAACAAAGAAAUAAUCCUUACAAUAUCAAAAUGUUUGCCAAUUAAGCUCAAAUAAACAAGAAUACACUUGAGCUAAAGAAGAACAAUGAAAGCUCAGAAGUGUGUAUAAGAAAAAUAUGAAAGAAUUAAAUACUAAGGUUGUUUUGAUUGAUCUUUAAGCUUGACGAUCUCUCUCUUUAUUGUAGGACAUUUGAAAGAUGGUAUUUAUACCAUCUAAUGCAUUUUCAACCAUUGUGGUUGUUGUGAAAGUUAAUAGAGCCAUUGGAAUGAAAAUACUAGAUCGUUUAAAUUCACCAACAACAAAAGGUAUUGAUACUUUUUCUACGAAUAUUAAUACUAUUAGCAUUUAAUGUCUGAUUCAGUGACCGUUAAAGUUAAUUAAUUUACAUCGAUACCAAAAAUAAUUUAUCGAUAUCUGGUAAAUGGUAUCGACACUUUUUGUAAUUGAUUGAAAACAAAAUGUCAAUUUGAUAUCGAUUUUAUAAAGGGUGUCGAUAUUUUGAAAACUAUAAAUACUUGGCCAAAAAGUCUAUUUUUUGGCAUGGAGUAAUAUUGACUUAUUUUAAAAUAAUUUUAACUUGAUUGAAAAUGUUUAACCCAAUUGAAACAAUUUUAACUUGAUUUUAUCAUUUUACUAAUUUUGUUGAACUUUAUCUUUUAUUCAAAAAUAUUUUAACUUGUUAUAUCAAAACAUAUUAUCAAAUAAAGUUAGGUGUAACAGAGUUCAUUUGUGAUACUAACUCAAUCGACAAAAUGAUUCAUAUACACAAAUAUAUAAAAAUUCAAAACACAAAUAUAUUUAUUAAAGUUUCAAAAUAAAAACUAAUAAUUACUUUAAUUUAAAUGGUAAAUGAAAAAGUUUUAUAUGCAUGGUGUCUUUGGUUAAAUUCUCAUUAUGAACAAAUUUUUAUUGAUCUAUAAAAAUAUGAAAAGACAAAAGCAUCCACAUAAUCAUAUAACUUUACAAAUAAAAUGAUUUUUUUAGUAAUUCCAUUAACUGAGUUGAAACUCGGUUGAUGGGUGACGCUAACUCAAUAAAAUGCUUAAUAAAUAGUAUGGAUACAUAAAACACGAAAUGGGUAGAAAAAAUUUAUUUAAGACCAUAAUGAAGCCAUGCUAUGCUAGUUGGUGUUUCCGACAGUCUUAAAAUUCAAACUUUAAGCCCUCAUAAACCUAAUCCACUUAAUUAAUUAUCAAAUAGUAAAAUCAUAUAAAAAUCGAGCAUAAUUAACAAAAAAACGCAAACGAGAAAGCUAGAUGCAACAUUUCACUUCAAACCCAAACGAAGGCCGAAAUAUGAGCACUUAUUACAUAUGAAGAUGUUUCUCCAUUUGUAACUACUGAGAGUUACUUUGAAUUUUUUGUUAGGAGAGAGUAAGUAGAGCUUAAGGGGAGCUGGAACUUAAUGUCAAUGAUGCAAGUACCACAUUCAUUACAUGAGAAAAUUGACUUCAUGUUUUUGGGAGAAUUGUCAAUGACUCGGAAGUUGCAUGCAAAUUCAUUAACAAUUUUUAGACUACUUUUUAGGUCAUUGAUUAGGCUAAUAAGAAAAUAUCCAUGACGGUCGGUGGUGUGCGUUUGGAAACUUUGUCUAGGGCUGCUCUGGCUCUCCAUUAAACUUGCUGGCCGCCCGAAAUAUGGGAAGAUUUGGGCAAAAAUAUAGACUCCAAAAAUAGGUUUGGACAAAAAAAAGCCUAUUUAAAAAAUAGGUCGGGCCUUGGGUAAGGCAUUUUUGGCCCGGGCCCGGCCCAAAUUCACUAAAUGACAAAAAAAUCUGCAGUUUUUUGUUUUUUAAUGUUAUUUUUUCUUUUUUUUUCUCCCUAUUUUGCUACCAUUUUACUAUUAUGUUGCUAAUAUUUUGUUGUUAUUGUUUGGAUAUUGUAUAAAACUUAUUUUAUUGUUAAUUUUGUUAAUAUUUUAAAGGCAUUUGUUAAUUUUUUUAUUAUUUUAGAGGCAUUUGCUUGUUAAGUUGCAUCUAUCUUACUGUUAUUUAAGUCUACAUAUUUUUUAAAAUUUAUUUUCAAUUCAUUGGGAAAUAUUUAUUUUGAUGUUUUUAGAAUUUUUGAUGUAUUAUAUAUAUUUAAAAAUAAUAUAAAAAAUUAAUACGACGGGCCGGGCCAGCCCGGGUUUUAGCAUUUUUAUCCGGGUCGGGCUUGGACAAAAUUUUAGGCCCAUUUUUAGGUCCGGCCCGAGCCCAAUAAACGAGCAUGAAUUUUAGUUGAGCCCGACUCGAACCCGGCUUGGCCCGGCCCAUGAGCACCUCUACUCUCCAUAUAAUUAUUUUUAGAUAUGUGUGCUUGUAACGACUUGUAAUAGUAAUAUUAAUAAGGGAUGAAUCUCAAAAUUAUAUAUAAAUUUUAAUUUAAUGUGUAAUUAUAUAUAAAUUUUAAUUUAGUGUAAUUGGACACGUGAAACUCUUUUUUUGAAAGGUAAAUUCAUUAAUUUAUUAAAUGAAUGGAAUCAUACAGUUCAGGGAAAAUAAAUAACAAACACUCGUCGCAGAUGGUAAAAAAUAAGCUCCAUCAACACAACCAAGGUUUUAGCUUCAAUAUCAAUAAAACAUCAUGACACAUUGACAAUUAGCUUUGUAAUAAUUCAAGUACGACAUGUCUGGAGUACUUGCAAAUACUUAAUACGAUAAAGAAAUCAGCCUAAAUGAUCCAAAGCAGCAAAAAUCGACAAAAGACUCGAGCAUUCACCAAACUAGAGAGGAUGACAACAAAACCAUCCCUAAAAUCACUUGUAAAACUAAGGUUACAUGCAUAAGUAAGACUAAAAAAUAUUCUAUAAGAGCAUAUAAAAACUUCUAAAACUGAAAAUUUAUUAAACAAUUGAAAUACAAACAAAAAUAUAUAUAAAACUUAAGACAGCACGGAUCCAAAUCGACUCAUGACAUAAUUUAUUAUUUUGAAAACUAUUGAUGACUGGUGGAGUUUUAGCGAACGAUAUACGUCGUCAUCUGCCCGUCACAACUUGUGAAAACAACAAAGAUACUCACAAAAUAGAUUUGCAAACUGAAAAGAGAGAAGACAUAUGAAAAAAAGAAAGAAAGAAAAGGGUUGGUGGGAGGAGAAAAAGGCAAGCAAUAGCCAGUUUCACUGGGCAAAACAAAAGAUAAGAAACAAACGGGUUGGAGAAAAAACUAUACACGUGAAACUAUAAUUAUUGUUAAAAUAUAUACUUAAAACUUUAGUUUUGAUUUAAUCAUACACAUUUAAAGAAAUAAAUAUAUUAAUUUAUUUUUAUAUUGGACAAAUAUAAUUAUUUAUAUACGCAAUAAUAUUAUAUCAAUAAUUAUGUUAAUAACUUAUAAGAAUUGAAUCAAAUAAGAAAUUAAAAUUCUGCAAAUGUAACUUUGAAAACAAAUUGACAUUGAAUCGGAAUAAUAACAGUCAUACAACGUGCGGUUGAAAAUCCAGUUUGAUUUUGUUGAAACUAUAAACUCGUUUUCCCUGAAGAACAAGAAAUUAUAAUCCAAUUUAAUUGUUAUUGACGUUGUAAAGAAAGCGAGGAAAAAGAAAAAGAAAUACGAAGCCAAUCAAUGGAACUGGGUAACCAAAAAUAACAUUAAAAAGAAUGAAAAAGAAGGGAUUGCAUGAGAUCAGAGCCAAAAUUUAGUGAUUUAACUUCCUAACAUUACUGGUUAAAUGAUGAUCGGAGCUUCGGGAAUGCUGGAUUGCAUCAGAGCCACUGGUAAGGAAUGUCAGCCGCCAAGAGCAAGAACAUGUAGUUCAGUUCACUUGGUUGAUAUGGUCGUCCAGAAGGUCUAGAUUCAAAUCUCGCUAUUUGCAAUUUAUUCCUAGGGCAAGAGAAGAUCAUACUGUGGGACUGUUGCAGGAUUGAAGGUUGAAGAUUGAGAUUUUAAGUGGCAAGUUGAAAUGCUGACAUUUCAUUGUGUUGUUUUAAGGAUGAUUCAACCCCUGCAAGUGCAAAUUGUCCAAUAUCAUGUCCUUCAAUUGCCUCAAAUUCCUUCUCUAAGCCAACAGCAAGCUCUUCAGGACAUGCUCCAUCACUUUGUAAAUAGUCUGCAAUCUACAUCAUUAAAUCCACAACAUUUCUUCAUUAAUCUCUAUGUCAAAAGCAAAGGAUUCAUGAAGCAAACCAAACAGCAAGAGAAGGAAAAAUAAAUAUGUAUAUAUAGACAUACAUAUAGUUAUUACAUCUAUAUAAAUGCACUUUUAAGCAACUUAUUUGUUUUGGUCAGAUAGCCUCAGCUAGUGCAGUCUGGUAUAACCCGAAUCAGAACUUAGGUUAGAUGAAAGCUUUUUUGAGUUUGCUAUCAAAAAACAGAAAUAAACAAACAUCACAAUUGGCACUUACAUGAUUGGCAAGAGCCAUGCCACUUAAAGCAGCCGACUCUAAAUUCGAUCUCAAUAACCAAUCACCGCAGAUACCAGCCCUUCCAUGAGGAUCGAAAAUACAUGGGAUACCUGGAGUGUUAGUCGGAAGAGCCGCACCCCUGCAAGUCCUCAGACCAGUGGGAGAAAUUAAUUCAAAAAAUUGCAAGGCAAAUCUCUGUUUUAAAUACUAACUAAUAUUUCAAGCAUGUUAGCCCUUCUUUAUUUGAUCAUUACCAACAGGCAAUUCCGGAAUCCAAGCAGGUUAUAUUGAUCAUAAUUGAAAAAACAAUAAUUUAUGCACAAGUUCAGACAAAGUAAGUUACCAUAGCUGAACUCUACUGUAAAUAGGUCUCGGAAGUGAUCCUUUUGGUAGUCCAAGUGCCGCUUCAACACCCUCAAGCAUGCUUGUCUUCACCUUUUCUGCUGUUUGACUUGGUAUAUUUUCCUGGUAAUGCAAUUCGAAAAACUUAUACAUAUCUGACAAAACCCCCCAAACUAUUAUAGUUUCAAACACAAUAUAACAGUAAUAUCACCAAGGUUCAACAUAGAAUGGGAUAGUCCACGAGAAUCACAAAGCUUUUCAUCGGUCCAAAACUAACCUGAGGAACCUUGUUUUGUUUUCCAUAGACUGCGGUGCUGAAAAAAGUCCAACAGUGAGGACCAUUACCCUGAGAACCCAAAAGCUUCAGUGAAUUGUUUGCCAUCCAAGAUACGGAAUCAACUCCCUUAAUAAAAGCUCCUUGAAAUGUCACGUUACCAUCUCCCAUAGGAAGGUGAUGCUCGAAUGCUGCAAGAAGUGCCCAUAUUGAACUCAAACCUAGCCUCUACAAAAAAAAAAAAAGUUGAGAACAUAUGGCUCCAGCAAAAAUGAGAAUAUAUCCAAUAAC
rnacentral:lncRNA from 1 species